ensembl:snoRNA
AAGACUAUAACUUCAGGGAUCAUUUCUAUAGUUCAUUACUACAGAGGUUUCUCUGAACAUGUACAGCACCGGAAACCACGAGGAGGAGGCGCAGCGUUCUCCCCUGAGUGUGAAGCCGGCUCUUGGUGUUGCUUUGCUGCUAGGCCACUUGCCGUUGAUGAUCGUUCUUCUCUCCUUUUUUGGGAGAGUAAGAGGGAGAGGACGCAGUCUGAGUGGCU